CAGAGAACAACCUUGCAAUAUAUUGGUUUUGUAAAAGGAGUCAAAGGUAUUCCCUUGUCAUUUUUGUUUGGUAAGAAGCACAUUUGUCAUCACCUUUCCGAGUGCCUGCAUAGGCCUAUAAAGAUGACAAAACAGGUUUUAUCUGCUCAGGACUGUUCAAAACCAGAGAGCAAAUAUAGCCCUGAACUCUGAAGAGGCAUAAGCAAAGCAGCUACUCUGCUGGAAGCCUGACUGAGGGGGAAUUGCAAUAAAUCAUGUAUUAUGUUUACAAGAAGGAUGUCUUGCAAUUGCGAGGUCAGCAUGGGACAGGAAACACAAGAAAAGCUACACGGGCAGUUCAGGAUUUAGUGAAGUCAAC